UACAGAGACCUCAAGCGUUAUCCGGAAUCAUUGGGCGUAAAGCGUACCGAUCGGUGGUUUACAAAGUCAGAGGUGAAAUCUCAAGGCUCAACCUUGAGUCUGUCCUUUGAUACUUGUAAACUAGAGGGGCAAAGAGGAGACUGGAACAAACGGUGUAGUAGUGAAAUGCGUUGAUAUCGUUUGGAACACCAAUAGCGAAGGCAAGUCUCUGGGUGCCUCCUGACACUGCUAGGACGAAAGCGUGGGGAGCGAAUGGG
rnacentral:rRNA from 1 species